CUUCAUUGGAUUUCUAAAAGAUAAACAGACAAUUAGGACAAUAUUUUAAUCAAUUCCUCGUGAUUAAGAAUAUAUAUAGACUACUUACUGUAUAUUCCCUAUUCACACGCGUUACAUUGUUAAUCCGAGUAUGCGCACUGAACGCCUCCAUUGUCUACCAGCAGCAAGGAGUGAGAGCGAGCGCGCGGAUAUGAGAAUGCAGGGGAGCGGCAUACAUUGACCCAAAUCUCCGGGAACCGGAGAACAAGCGGACCCGGACACACGUAUGUCGUUGGAAAGACAGACUGGCAGACAGACAGCAACAGUUGUCAUGGAUAUGGUUAUGAUCAGCUGAACCACUCUUCAAGACAAAAAUAAUAACAUUAAAGGGGGGUAGCCUAGCCUACUGCAGGGAAGCGCGACUGUCGGAACCGUUGUUGCGCUUUGUGCUUGUCAUCAUCCCUGUUGUGAUUUGGAGCAGGCUGUCCUGCAUUCGUUGUGAGGGGAAAACGUUUUGCGUUUUGCUUAUCUUCAUCAAAGGGAGUUGUUUUUCUGUCAUUCAUUUGACAUCAUCCUCCUAUAAAUGAUCGUUUUUCUCUGUUGAGCUGAAUCAAAACAUUCGAGUCGCUCAUGUUCCUGUCAGGGAAAUGGGCUGUUGCGUCUGUUAUACACAGCUGCUUUAGUCAGACUUGACAACCGGGAUUUUUUAAAGCUGCCGUUUUGUCCCUGGCAAGAGGCGAUCAAGUGCACUGCAGACAGGCGUGUCGGGGGCGAUUCCAGUGACGGCUCUCGACUCUCUGCGGGAGCCCCGUUUCAACAGCCCCCACCCAAUUUUAUCGGGCGAUUUGGAUGGGGGGCAAGCAGAGUACGACAGGGCGGCCCCGGGGUGCUUUUCACGGUGUCUCGGCGGAUGACAGCGCAGUGGCACCCUCGGCCCACUUUGGGCACUACCGACCAAGUGGCACUAUGGGGUUACGCAGUCGCUCAGUGAGUUCUGUGGCUGGGAUGGGCAUAGAACAUAGUCCUACGGUGCCCUUUGGUUUUUAUACCCCCAGAGGAACAGACUCGGACAGGGCUGGAGGGGGGUCUGGCACUAACGCCUCCCAUGGUAACGGCUACCAGGAAACGGGCAGCGGGCAUCACACGGAUGGUAUGCUCUAUCUGGGCUCCCGAGGGUCGUUGGCAGACACCUUGCCCCUGCACAUUGCACCCCGGUGGUUUAGCGCCCACAGUGGGUUCAAGUGUCCUGUCUGCUCCAAGUCUGUGGCGUCUAAUGAGAUGGAGGUGCACUUCAUCAUGUGUCUAAGCAAGCCCCGCCUGUCCUACAACGAUGACGUGCUGGCCAGGGAUGCCGGGGAGUGUGUAAUCUGUCUGGAGGAGCUGCAGCAAGGAAACACCAUCGCCAGACUGCCGUGCCUCUGCAUCUACCACAAAAGCUGUAUAGACUCCUGGUUUGAGAUCAAUCGUUCCUGCCCUGAGCAUCCUUCAGACUGACUGACCUCUGUGCUCCUACUCCUACUGUUCAAGGACACUUUAUGUUCCUAUCAUGGAUAUCUGGACACUGAAGUAACCAAAAAACUAAACAAUCAAAACAACCUAUCUAUCAAUUGAUCUAUCAAUCUAUACUUUCACUUCCACAUGCAUAAAAGAGUGCCCCUCCUCCCUGCCACCUCCCGCCUAGCCCUAAAGGCUGCUAACUGCCAGUCCCUAUGUUGGCCCAACUAGGCUGACCAUCCCUCCAGGCCAACUGCCUCACCUGGCUGCUUGGCCCCCAGCCAGCCAGUCACCACGCCACAUGGCCUGGUCCUCUCUGGGCUCCUCCGGGGGUCUGGCCCUUGCUCUGCUCUGCCUUCCAUUUUGCCUCCUGAGUUUGGCCCUGCCUGGCUCCAUAUCAUUAAUCUGGAUCCAGCCAUCUCAUGGCCUUCAUCAGGAAGAGACAGAGGAGGAUAAUGAAGAUAAAGAUGAAGAAUAGGGCUGGAUGAACCCUGUGUGCCAGGGCAGGGUAGACUCCCAGGACGUUGUCUGGUUUUUGCUGCGAUGGGGAAACGCUGACCAGAAUUAGUCAUUUCCCUGUAAGGGCCUUGAGUGUGUUCAUGUGUGUGUAUGUGUGAUGCCUCUUGGUCUAAGCUACUGUCUGUGCCCCACAUGUUUUCUGAUGAAAUAGGUCAGGUCCUCUCUGGUUGUGUUGGCUGAUGUGACUUAAUGUAAUGGACGUAUUAAAGACCUAAAUGACAGUCACAUCGUGGAGCUAUUCCGGGGUUAUAACUUAUUUAUUCACAUUUAACAAGAUUUGUUUUCGCAAAUCUGUCAGAGAACAUACAUUACUCUUCAGAAUGCCUCUAGUGUAUAAAGAAUAACAGAAUGAUUAUUCUGGAAGAAAACAACGAACAUAGCUCAACAAAUGGGUGAAUAUUUUUUCAAUUUCUGUAGGGUGAAAAUGUAGAGAAUAUAGUACCUGUGAGGCCAAUAUAAACAAUUCAUUAGCAAGCAGACAACCACCAAGCUUCAACUGAACAAGGAACACAGGGAAGACAGACUACUAGUCAGUUAUGAUAGAGUAUACUAUACAUAUUCAUGUCUCCUGCUAACUGUAUCCCUGCCCGACUCUGCUAAAGGGCCAUAUACCUUGAUUUUAUUUAAUGUUUUGAGAUGACUUUUUUUCCAAGGAUGUGAAUGGGUGCCUGUUUUGGAGGUACCAACUAAUUGUUUGAUGAUUUUGAUGUGCAAUCUGUGGGAUGAAUACUGAUAAUGAUAUAUACACAGUACCAGUCAAAAGUUUGGACACAGCAACUCAUUCAAGGGUUUUUCUUUAUUUGUACUAUUUUAUACACUGUAGAAUAAUAGUGAAGACGUCAAAACCUACAAAUAACACAUAUGGAAUCAUGCAGUAACCAAACAAGUGUUAAAUAAAUCAAUAUAUGUUUUAUAUUUUAAAUGUAAUGUAAAUGUAUAUUUUAGAUUCUUCAAAAUAGCCACCCAUUGCCUUGAUGACAGCUUUGCACUCCAUCACUCUCCUUCUUGAUCAAAUAGCCCUUACAGGCUGCAGGUGUGUUGGGUCAUUGUCCAGUUGAAAAUUAUUAUUAUUAUAAAAACAAAUGAUAGUCCCACUAAGCGCAAACCAGAUGGGAUGGCUUAUCGCUGCAGAAUGCUGUGUAAACCAUGCUGGUUAAGUGUGCCUUGAAUUCUAAAUAUAUCACGGAUAGUGUCACCAGCAAAGCCCCCUCACACAAUCACACCUCCUCCUCCAUGCUUCACAGUGGGAACCACACCUGCAGAGAUCAUCCGUUCACCUACUCUGCAUCUCACAAGGACACGGCGGUUGGAACCAAAAAUCAAACAUUUGGACUCAUCAAACCAAAGGACAGAUUUCCACUGGUCUAAUGUUCAUUGCUCAUAUUUCUUGGCCCAAGCAAGUCUCUUCUUAUUAUUUGUGUCCUUAAGUAGUGUUUUUUUUGCAGCAAUUUGACAAUGAAGGCCUGAUUCACACAGUCUCCUCUGAACAGUUAAUGUUGAGAUGUGUCUGUUACUUGAACUCUGUGAAGCAUUUGAUGCUUGAUGGUUUUUACACUUGAAGUUCUUGAAAUGUUCCGGAUUGACUGACCUUCAUGACUUAAAGUAAUGAUGGACUGUCGUUUAUCUUUGCUUAUUUGAGCUGUUCUUGCCAUAAUAUGAACUUGGUAUUUUACCAAAUAGGGCUAUCUUCUGUACACCACCCCUACCUUGUCACAACACAACUGAUUGGCUCAAACUCAUUAAGAAGGAAUGAAAUUCCACACCUGUUAAUUGAAAUGCAUUCCAGGUGACUACCUCAUGAAGCUUGGGCUCCAGCCCAGCUGUCUAAGGCAAUUCAUCUCAGUGCAAGAGGCGUCACUACAGUCCCUGGUUCGAUUCUAGGCUGUAUCACAUCUGGCCAUGAUUAGGAGUCCCAUAGGGCGGCGCACAAUUGACCCAGCAUCGUCCGGGUUAGGUCAGGGUAGGCCGUCAUUGUAAAUAAGAAUUUGUUUGUAACUGACUUGCCUAGUUAAAUAAAGGUUAAAAAAAAAUUAAAAACAUGAAGAAAAGCUGGUUGAGAGAAUGCCACGAGCGUGCAAUACUACCAUCAAGGAAAAGGGUGGCUACUUUGAAGAAUCUCAAAUAUAUUUAGAUUUUUUUUCCAUCACUUGUUUGGUUACUACAUGAUUCCAUAUGUGUUAUUUCAUAGUUUUGAUGUCUUCACUAUUAUUCUACAAUGUAGAAAAUUUGUAAAAUAAAGAAAAAAGCUGGAAUGAGUAGGUGUGUCCAAACGUUUGACCGGUA